UACGUAGGGCGCAAGCGUUGUCCGGAAUUAUUGGGCGUAAAGAGCUCGUAGGCGGCUUGUCACGUCGGGUGUGAAAGCCCGGGGCUUAACCCCGGGUCUGCAUUCGAUACGGGCUAGCUAGAGUGUGGUAGGGGAGAUCGGAAUUCCUGGUGUAGCGGUGAAAUGCGCAGAUAUCAGGAGGAACACCGGUGGCGAAGGCGGAUCUCUGGGCCUGUUCUGACGCUGAGGCGCGAAAGCUAGGGGAGCGAACAGG
rnacentral:rRNA from 1 species